rnacentral:tRNA from 1 species
GGGCCGCUGGUCUAGUGGUAUGAUUCUCGCUUAGGGUCUUAACUCUGAGUACUUGCUUGCGAGAGGUCCCGGGUUCAAUCCCCGGGUGGCCCC